UCCCCCUAUCAGCCCUAACCCUGAUGGCCUGACCCUCUCCACCUCGAUCUCCAGACGCCAUCCUCACUGCAAAUCACCAAUCAACCGUGGAUUUUAAAUACUUAUAUUUUCUUUACAUUGUUUGUUGGAUUCUUUGGUGUUAAUCUGGUUUGUUGAAUGCGGAAGAGUUGUGUUUGGUUAAUUGAGGCUUCAAGGCAGUUGCAUUCGAUCAACCAUCUUCUCGAACAACAAAGCACAUAAACGACACAUAGUUGAUGGUUCGGCAUCAUUAGAUGGAAAUGGCUUUCAUAGGAAGACUUUAAAAAGCAAUAUGUGAUAACGCUUGCAACGGCUUUCAUGGAAGAUGAUCCUUUUGAUUUUGAAUCUGAUGUUCUAGUUGCCCCAAAUCAACCAUAUAGCCGAAAUAUUGGAGGAUCUAAGAAAUUCUUCAGGAUUUUAUUGUAAGUUCUAAUUACAGUGUUAUCUGCCCUGAUGGGUUGGGGUUUGCAUUGUUGUGGCUCAUACAAAAGGUUUCCCUCCAAACGUUUUAUCGCAUAUAUUAAACAGAUAAAUAUAAAUGUGAUAUAUGCAUAGAUUCUGUCAUACUUGAGUCGUUACUUUAUUUGAUUAAUAGAAGAACACUUAGACUAAAUUUGUGUCUAAAAACGAUAAAGCCACUGCUAUUAGAGAUUCUGAGAGUAUGGCCUAAGUAUAUUGACAUGUGUUUAUUUGUCAAUAUGAUUAGCAAGCCUGUUUACAGUUGGUAGUUUUUAUUUCAUAUGUUAUUUCAUUUCUUUGCUUCCUUACCUUCAUUUGUUGCUCAUUUACAUAGAUUCAUAUAAAACGUAGAUGAUAUAUUCAAAAAUGGAAACAAGAUUUUUGUGUUAGAAGAAGAACCAGUAAAGACCAUUUGCAAAUGGAAAGUCGUAUGCUCUUGAUUUACUUGAUACCCAGGGCAUGUCAGUACUCAGUACCAACUACUAACAGUAUUGCCAUCAAAGCAUACUCUGGAGGUAAAAUUCAUUACUAGAGCUUACCCAGUUACUUAUAAAUAGCGGAUUUGAAGUUUUUUUUCUAUCAUGUCAAAUGGGUAAAAUGACAAAUUGAAAGCUAAAAACUCUUUGCUGGAGGAGGCAUUGACUAAACUCUGGGAUGGUCAUAUAUGAGCAAUUAUGAAUGGGCAAUGGGUUAGUAAACCUCAUUUGGAUAUCAUACAUAAGUUCAUAAGAGUAUUAUAGAGCCAGUGCGCUUGACAAGAUCUCCUUCUUUAAUAUCUCCUGUACAACCAUAACUGAAGUCAACAAGGACACAUGUGAACUUUCACACGAAGUUGAGUUACUGGAUGAAGCUGCCUUUGUCAUAGGUGCUAGGGAACUUGGUUUUGAGCUUUUUCUAACGUAUUUUAUCUUGGAUACAUUGUAUACUCUCCGUGUCUAUUUAUGUAUAUAUAGGUUAUAUUAUGGAAAUUAAGCAUGAACUAUAAAACUAAUAGUGUUAUAUAUGCUUUUUGUUA